rnacentral:rRNA from 1 species
UAUGUGAUCGUCUCUCGCAUAUCAAUAAGCGGAGGAAAAGAAACUAACAAGGAUUCCCCUAGUAACGGCGAGUGAAGCGGGAAGAGCUCAAAUUUGAAAUCUUAAAGGGUUUCCCUUUACGAAUUGUAGUUUAAAGAAGUGUUUUCUGUUGAGGUUUUGGUAAAAGUUCUUUGGAAUAGGACAUCAUAGAGGGUGAGAAUCCCGUAUUUGACCUUUACAUUCAACUUUGUGAUACACUUUCAAAGAGUCGGAUUGUUUGGGAAUGCAGUCCAAAAUGGGUGGUAAAUUUCAUCUAAAGCUAAAUAUUGGCGAGAGACCGAUAGCGAACAAGUACCGUGAGGGAAAGAUGAAAAGAACUUUGAAAAGAGAGUUAAACAGUACGUGAAAUUGUCAAAAGGGAAGCGUUUGACACCAGUGUUGUUUUUCUGAAAAUCAAUUAAAGAACUGUUUAUGCUAAGCUGUUUAGACUUUAUCAGCUAUCUGUUUAGUUUUGAGCUUUUCUUUAAUGCACUUUUCAGUUAACAAGUCAACAUCAAUUUCUUUUGCUGUAAAAAAGCUUGAGGAAGGUGGCUUGAGAUUCGUCUUAAGUGUUUAUAGCCUCUUGCCUAUGCAGUCGGAGAGAUUGAGGUCUGCAGCGUAGAUCCUUCGAGGCUAAAUGCAUUUGUGCUAAGUUAUAGCAUUUUAUAGACAACUUGUUGACUAUGAUUUGUCUUGUAGCUUACUCGCUUAUGUUAUUUUACCUACGCUUAGGAUGUUGAUAUGCAUGACUGAUAU